AGAAAAAGCAUUUCAGAAUCUGCAAGUUCAAACAAGACAAAGCUGAAGAGUGUAUGAGUAAAGCUCAGCCUCUGAUGUCCUCUGAAAUUAAUCUGUGAGCUCAGUAACUGCUAGGAUUUGAAUGAGGGGUGUCCCCUCAAAAACGAAUGUUGAAAUUUAAUCCCCAAUGCAACAAUAUUAAGACACGUGUCCUUUGGGGUGAUUAAGUCAUGAGGGCUCUUAUACAAGCACAGGAGGUCGAGGGGAGCACCCUCUUCCCCUCCUCUCCCAUGUAAGGACACAGCAUAUCUCCCCUCUGGAGGAUCUGGCAGCAAGGCGCCAUCUUGGAAGCAGAGAGCAGCCCUCACCAGACACUAAUCCUGCGGACAUCUUGAUCUUGGACUUCCCAGCCUGGCAGACUCAUAAACAGAGGCGACUUCAUUAAAAUGCAGCCUGCUCUGACAUGCUACUGGGAAGAUCAGUUGGCAAAUGUGUAUGAGUGAUUCCAGAUGAAAGUGAGGUCACCCAAUCAACUUGAUAAAUAGAGCUCAUAGCAUAACAUCCCACAUUCUUACAUAUCUGAAAUUAAAAAAAAUAUAUAAAUAAUUCUGAAUUAUUUUACUCUUAAGAGUACAAGUGCACAUUGUCUUCUGUGAAGCAUAAUGGAGAACCCACACCAGCUCAUAGACGGCAGCCAGCAUUUUAUAAAUACCUCACGUUUUUAACUGGUCCUAUCCUUAUCAUUAUGGCAACAGUGGAUACUAUUAGUUUUUAACUAACGGUACUAACUAAUAAUAAUUAUAAGGAAAAUUGCCAAUGUUCUACACAUACAUAUUUCACUGAAUCCCCAAAAGAAUAAGAGGUGCAUUUUAUAAUUACCAUCCCUUUUUACAAUGCUGAUGCUAAAAUCUCAGGUCAAGUGCUUUAUCAAAGUGGCUGAAUUAGGACUUGAAUUCCAUAUUUUGUUUUGAUGCUACUCUGCUUUUAGGAAAGAUUUUGAAGAGUGGGGAGGUCUCACUAGAAAUACAUUUCUAAAAGCCUUGAGAGUUUCUUUAGCUGUGAAUUCCCAAAGCAGCUUAAAGAAUUUUGCAAGAACUGAGCUGCUGAUUCUUUUACGUCAGUUUGCCACCGAGAUGAUUUUCUUUCAGAGGAAAAACCGAAGAUAGAACAGUAGUUUUCCACUCUGACCUUCCUGGCUGCCUUCACCCCACCCCAUUUCAUUCAUGCUGCUCCUUAGGCAACAAAACAAAUGGGACAAAGCUGUAUAUCCUUUCCUAAGAUAAAUUCAUCAGGUGAGGGAGAAAGUUGAUUUAGAUUAACCAUGUGUUGUGUAGGCAAGUUCAACGGAGAGAGAGAUUACGUGAAAACCUAACAAGGACAUAAGCACCACCUUCACCAAGCAGGACACGUGGACAAACAAGGACUCCCCAGAAGAACCAAGGGAUAGACGAGCAUCGCAGGAAUAAAACCAGAAUAUCCAAAUCAUAUUUGUGAAAAAAUUACAUUUUCUACUACGUUUUCUUAUUUUUAUAUAUUUAAAAAAUUUUGCAAUGUUCAGUCUCUUCUUGUUUUAUAAAAAGUUGGUAAAUAUCCUUUUCAUCAUCUCAACUCUUGUCAGUUCAUGGAUGGUUUACUCAAUUUCGCCUGUUAGUCUCACUUCAUGGUAUGCUGCCUGUACUUCUCAUAAGAGAAAAACUCCAGCUCAGAAUCAGAUGCCCUCUAGAGAAAGGCUGGCUUGACUUUGUUGUGUGUCUGCAACAAAUGACUUAUUUUUUCAAUAAAACCCUCAGUGUGGCUGGGUACCUAUAUGUUACCUUCUUUCUAAAGCGCCCAAGAGGCCACAGAGAUCAUUGUCAAAGUGAACUAUUGAGCAUUGCAGUGCUGGGCAUCAGGGGAGCAAGACUUCGAUGACAGGGGAAG
rnacentral:lncRNA from 10 species